UACGUAGGGGGCAAGCGUUAUCCGGAUUUACUGGGUGUAAAGGGAGCGUAGGCGGUGAUGCAAGUCAGAAGUGAAAGCCCGCAGCUCAACUGCGGGACUGCUUUUGAAACUGUAUGACUAGAUUGCAGGAGAGGUAGGUGGAAUUCCUAGUGUAGCGGUGAAAUGCGUAGAUAUUAGGAGGAACACCAGUGGCGAAGGCGGCUUACUGGACUGUAAAUGACGCUGAGGCUCGAAAGCGUGGGGAGCAAACAGG
rnacentral:rRNA from 1 species